GACGAACGCUGGCGGCGUGCCUAAUACAUGCAAGUUGAGCGCUGAAGGUUGGUACUUGUACCGACUGGAUGAGCAGCGAACGGGUGAGUAACGCGUGGGGCAUCUGCCUUUGAGCGGGGGACAACAUUUGGAAACGAAUGCUAAUACCGCAUAAAAACUUUAAACACAAGUUUUAAGUUUGAAAGAUGCAAUUGCAUCACUCAAAGAUGAUCCCGCGUUGUAUUAGCUAGUUGGUGAGGUAAAGGCUCACCAAGGCGAUGAUACAUAGCCGACCUGAGAGGGUGAUUGGCCACAUUGGGACUGAGACACGGCCCAAACUCCUACGGGAGGCAGCAGUAGGGAAUCUUCGGCAAUGGACGAAAGUCUGACCGAGCAACGCCGCGUGAGUGAAGAAGGUUGUCGGAUCGUAAAACUCUGUUGGUAGAGAAGAACGUUGGUGAGAGUGGAAAGCUCAUCAAGUGACGGUAACUACUCAGAAAGGGACGGCUAACUACGUG
rnacentral:rRNA from 1 species